UCCUGCCCCAGGCCUGGAGAGGAGGGGCUGUGGGGGCUGGGUGGUGGAGAGGAUUCAGUGAUGGAAGCCCUGCCCCUCACAGGCUGCAGAGCUGGCUGGAGAUCGGGGCACUUGACAGGACUGGGUGAGGGCAGGCUGGCAGUUUUUAGAAUCAGGACUCACCAGGUGUUAUGGGCACUCUCUGCAUGGGGGUGAAGGCAAAUGGGGGCAAUGCCUGGGGUGGAGGUCACAGUAAGGAGAGGGCAUCUCUCAGAUUGAAGAGUUUGGGGAGGAAGCAGGAGGUGAGAAAGAAGAGGCCAGGAGGGAGCACUGGACAUCACAGGUCCUGGGCAUAAAUCCCAGUUGUCUGUUAAUGUGGGACUGAUGGGACAAAUUUUAACCUUCUCGGGCCUCAAUUUCCUCAUCUGUAAAAUGGGCACAUCACUCUUCUCUAAGAAUUCCAGGACAGUUCCAGCAAGAUAAAGUGAAAAGCUUUAGGAGUUAUCCAGCCCUGUAUGAAGGGGCAGUGUUCUAAGGAGGAAGAGCAGGGAGAGAAGGACGCGGAGCGGGUGGUUGCUCUCGAGGUGAGGGACUUUCCAACACCCUGGGAGGGCACACCUCCAAACACUGGCUGCUAACCUGAAGAAUUCCUCCUACAGCUUCAUGUCUCAGUAUGAGGAGGAACCUACUCAGGGGCAGCCUGCCACUAAGGAAGAGCCUACUUCUCCUCACAGCCAGGCAUCCGAGGGCAGGAUGUGGUUUCUUGAUAUCUCCUGCUCUGAUCCCCACUGGAGUCCGAGUCUGGGAGGGAGUCCAGCUCAAGAACGAAGUUGCAUGCUGACUGCGGCGUCCCUGGACUCCCUCCACCCUUCACUAGAGGGGCCCCCACCUCCAGCCCUCUUCCACCACCCUGGAGAAGGCUUCCAGAUGUCCAAGGACAAGAGGGUCAGAGCCCCUGAGUGACUAAAGCUGCCGUCGUGGGAUGCCAGUGUCUCAAUCCACUCCAGAACUCCCACGUGGCAGGGCUCGUGACCCUUAUUUACAGAUGAGGAAACUGAGGUUCUGUUCGUGAUGGUCAGGAAUAUUUGAACCCAGUCUUGGCUGGCUCUAAUUUUGGGUGUCAAAGGCUUGCCCUCAGUAGACCAGCUCCCUCACAGGGGUCUUGGGGAGGAAAGGAAUAGGGGAGGGGGUGGUCCUUCCCAGCAACAAUGGAGUGGCCUAGGUCCCCUUCUUCAGAGGUCAAUUCGACCACCCCCCUCUGCCUGUAUCCCCUCCAGCCUGACUGUGGGUAGCUCACUCGGUUUUCCCUUUGGUCCCACCUGGAUGGUCAGGUAUUAGCACCAGCCCAGCCCUGCACCCCUUUCUCCUCUCUGCUGCUGGUCUGCUGGAUUCACUUUAUACAGGGAACCCUCCUUUUCUGAGAUUUAUCCCCCUAGCAGGGACAUGGAGGGAGCAACUUAGUCUUGCUGAUCUCAUGAACAGAAAAUAGAAGGCA